rnacentral:rRNA from 1 species
GGCGAAAGCCUGAUCCAGCAAUGCCGCGUGAGUGAUGAAGGCCUUAGGGUUGUAAAGCUCUUUUACCCGGGAUGAUAAUGACAGUACCGGGAGAAUAAGCUCCGGCUAACUCCGUGCCAGCAGCCGCGGUAAUACGGAGGGAGCUAGCGUUGUUCGGAAUUACUGGGCGUAAAGCGCGCG